rnacentral:lncRNA from 7 species
AUCUGUAUAAUGUGCUAGUUUUUACCCAGGAACACUGCAUUAUAAAGCAUUUAAAGCAACGCGCUGCCGAAGAGAGGGGAAGGAGGACUCCUGUCCUGCUUCUAGCAGUCCUUUCUGCUGGAGCCUUCCUCUGGAUACUGACAGCUUGGAAAUCCAACGUCCUGCAGGUGUCAGCAGGACCUGUGCAUGAGCUCCCGUGUCUGGGGAACUCACCGGUCUGCCUGGAGCUGAAAAUGAAAACUAUUCAGUUCUCGGCCAGAAAGGACCUCAUUCUAGACGCCGUGUUUCACAGCCUGGAAGAGAAUGGGAUCGAUGGAAUGAAGAGAGAGGAAAUUCUGCAGCUGACAAGAGAGGCAGUUGAGAAGGUGAUGAAACACGACACCUGGCUGCCCAGUUGGGCUCUAAAAACCAUGGGUGCCACUAUUGAUGUGGAGAGGACAUCCAAGAGUUACGGGGGGAACCGCUGGCUUUCUCCAUUCUUUUCCUCCGCAAAGCCUCCUGAGACGAUCUUGCAGGCCUGAUAUUUCUGCUGGCAACUGCUGGGCUUUCCAAGGAUCUCGGGGCCACGUGGUCAUCCGGCUGCCGGAGAAAAUCUGGCCCACGGCUUUUACCCUCUGGCAUAUCUCCAAGGCAGUCUCUCCCUCCGGGGAAGUCAGCACUGCCCCCAGAGAGUUUGUUGUCUCAGGAGUGGAUGAGGACGAAGGUGAAGCUCUCCUGGGGUCGUUCAUUUAUGACGUGGACGGAGAGAUCGCCCAGACCUUUCCAGUGCAGGAGGAGCCCCGCAAAGCCUUCCGCCAGAUCAAGCUGGAGGUGCGGAGCAACUGGGGAAACGCGGAAUACACCUGCGUGUACAGAGCCGAUGUUCACGGCAGCCCAGAAAAGAAUUAAUAGAUGCGUAGAACGGAAUAAUUAAAUAAAAAGGUGUUGCCACC